CGGGCGAGCAUGUAGCGGCCACGGGCGGCGCGGGGCUCCCGGGGCGGGCCGGGCCGCGGGGGCCGCUCGCGGCGACAUGGACGAGGAGGGCAAGAAGGGCAAAAAGAGGGAGAAAACCCGGUUGCAGCACACCCUGUCAGCGGUGUUUUAUCACCUGGGGCAUGCAGAGAAGACACCAUGCGACAGCCACGGAUCUCCCGGAGCAUCCUGCUUGGGAACCCUCAUUUCCAGAGCUCUUCCUGAGUGUCUGGGUCCUACACAUCAUAAGAAACUCGUGCUUAUCUCCUCAGUGCCACAGCAUUUUGAAAGGGGCAUGAUUUGACUUUUGCAGGGAGGUCCUGGACGCCUGGCCCGCCUCGUGUCCCCAGUGCCUGCCUUCAGCUGUGGGACAUGGUUGUCUGACCCCCUGUUUUGCUUCAUCCGUUGUUGGGGUUUGGCCACGGAAGGAGUGGCACCCCUUAUUGGUCCCUUGUCCUGGACAGAACGAGCCCUGUGCCCACCACCAGGGUAGUGCAGAGAGGGCCUCACCCAGAACCCAGACGUACUGUGUGGCCACCGCGAAGCUGCCCCUGCUGGGGCUCCCCAGCAGCCCCUGCAGGGUGUCCCGCAGUUCCUUCUGCAGGGGUGUGGCCUUCCCAUCACAGGCCAAGAGCCUGGGCGCCCAGUCUGAGGCCGGCAGGAGGGGGCCCGUGUACUCAGGGUGCUCCAGCUGGGCGGUGGCGCUGAUGUGCAGCAGCUUCUGGAAGGUGCUCUGGUCCUUUGGGGACUCGCUGCCUGAGGCAGAAUGAGAAGGGAGGGUGAGCCGAGGCUGACGCCGGGCCAGAGAAAGAGGGGGAUCAGCCAGGGGACAGUGACAUCCUCACCUCCAAGUGACCCUGAAUUUGGCAUCAUCAGGGGCAGAGACAAGAGGUCAUGAGGGCCACGCAUAGGGAGGGAACGAGGGGGGCGGAAACAGGGGGACUGGUCCCUGGUGGGUGGUGGGGAGCUGCUCGCCUCCAGCCACACUGGGAGGAAGCUGUGGAAAACCCACACGUGGACGAAGCCUCCUGUGUCUCCCGAGAGGCUGUGCGAUGUUGGGUGUCCCCUCUGCUGUUGGUGGCUGUGGGGCCCGCCUGUGUGGGGCUGUCCGUGGUCCUGUCCAGGUGGCUCGGGGUGACCUGGGGAAGCUGGGCCAUUGCCUUCGCCUUUGUCACGACCUGCCCUUUAGGCAGAAGUGCAGAAACACCUGGUACCCUUGCAGGUGGUGCUCUCUGGGGGCCAUCAAUCAGCCAGGACUCCCCCCAGAAUGAGGCCCACCGUCACUUGGCACGUGCGGGCGUCGUGCAGCCAAUGGAGAGGUCAGACGGUGACGGGCUGCUCCUUGUCUCCUCCUCAGAGGGCGCACAAGGGGCCAGCAGUGGUGGCGGCACUUUCAGGCCCAGUUACUUAGCCGGGUGGCGUGGGGGCAACAGCCCUGCCAUUUGGGGGCUCCAUGCACCGUGGCUUCUGCCCGACUUGGGCUCUGUCGUGUGUCUUGGCCCCUCUAGGAGUGAUGGCCUUACCGCGUGGCAGCAUCAGUGCCCUGAGCCUUGUCUGCCAAGCACCCCAGCACCAGCGCUCACGUCAGCACGGGCACUUGUGGGCGGUGGGGGGCCUGUGUCGCUGGCUCUGCUCGGCCCGCUGGCCUGUAAUAGAGAGGGCCCCACCCAUGGGUGCUCUGGGCUGAGAGCAGACCUGGCCGAAAUUGUCCACGAGACAGACUCCUGAAACAGACCAGCGCUGGCGGAAAUGGGACCCGUCUAGUGAUUGGACGGGAUGGCGGCCCUGUGAGUGUGUUGGUCCCCCCGGGACCCCGCGAAGAUGCCACCCGUCUCUUCUCUGGAGCCCAAUGACUCAACUUCACGCUCCCCCGAGGAGUUGCCGCAGGCGCGGGGCCGCACACAGAAGGGUAAAACGCGUGCGUCCUUCGUACUCUGUGCCGACGAACAGCAGAUGGACAGAGACUGAAGUGAGAAACAAACUAGUUGAGCCGUAACAUACACAUAAGCAGAGUAAAAAGUCAAACAGGUGGAGAGGACAAGACCUGCGACUUCUAACAGGGAAGGUGAACAUCUCGUAAAUAACACAUGGAAGGCAGAGCAGAGGCCCGGGGCUGAGAGGAGAAACAGGCAAGACGUGGGAACAGACAGCUCAUGGAAAGAGAAACGCAAAAGGGUUUUGAUGUGUGAAGACACAGCUCAGACUCCUUAGAACAGAAAUGCAAACCGAGAGCACCUCUGGCCAUCGGUCCCUCCCCCCCAGGUCCACGGAAACCCCCCAGCUGACAGGGCGCCAUGGCAUUGACUGAGCCAGCAUCCCACUUCCGAGGACCGCCCAGGGACCUGCUGGCAGCAGUGGAGAGCAGUUUGUGCCCUGAGCUGUGCAUCGUGGCCACGUGCCACGUGUAGGUGCGCGUUCUCCAAACCGCGCUGCGCCCACACGCCGGCGGCAUGACCAGAGAGCCCUGUGAGCGGGCCCCAGGACGUGCGUGUGGGUGUACUCACUCUGAUAGUUUGUAAGUGGUCACCUGGAGGCAAGGAGAGUGGGACUGCUUAGCAUAAGCCUCAUGACCGCAACCAUCCAAUGUUCUGUAAUACUACAAAUUGAAUAAAAGCUUCUUAAAAUGUCA